AUCAGAAGUGCGAAUGCUGACAUAAGUAACGAUAAAGCGGGUGAAAAGCCCGCUCGCCGGAAGACCAAGGGUUCCUGUCCAACGUUAAUCGGGGCAGGGUGAGUCGACCCCUAAGGCGAGGCCGAAAGGCGUAGUCGAUGGGAAACAGGUUAAUAUUCCUGUACUUGGUGUUACUGCGAAGGGGGGACGGAGAAGGCUAUGUUAGCCGGGCGACGGUUGUCCCGGUUUAAGCAUGUAGGCUGGUUAUCCAGGCAAAUCCGGAUAAUCAAGGCUGAGGUGUGAUGACGAGGCACUACGGUGCUGAAGUAACAAAUGCCCUGCUUCCAGGAAAAGCCUCUAAGCAUCAGGUAACAUCAAAUCGUACCCCAAACCGACACAGGUGGUCAGGUAGAGAAUACCAAGGCGCUUGAGAGAACUCGGGUGAAGGAACUAGGCAAAAUGGUGCCGUAACUUCGGGAGAAGGCACGCUGGUGUGUAGGUGAAGUCCCUGCGGAUGGAGCUGAGACCAGUCGAAGAUACCAGCUGGCUGCAACUGUUUAUUAAAAACACAGCACUGUGCAAACACGAAAGUGGACGUAUACGGUGUGACGCCUGCCCGGUGCCGGAAGGUUAAUUGAUGGGGUUAUCCGUAAGGAGAAGCUCUUGAUCGAAGCCCCGGUAAACGGCGGCCGUAACUAUAACGGUCCUAAGGUAGCGAAAUUCCUUGUCGGGUAAGUUCCGACCUGCACGAAUGGCGUAAUGAUGGCCAGGCUGUCUCCACCCGAGACUCAGUGAAAUUGAACUCGCUGUGAAGAUGCAGUGUACCCGCGGCAAGACGGAAAGACCCCGUGAACCUUUACUAUAGCUUGACACUGAACAUUGAGCCUUGAUGUGUAGGAUAGGUGGGAGGCUUUGAAGCGUGGACGCCAGUCUGCGUGGAGCCAACCUUGAAAUACCACCCUUUAAUGUUUGAUGUUCUAACGUUGGCCCCUUAUCGGGGUUGCGGACAGUGUCUGGUGGGUAGUUUGACUGGGGCGGUCUCCUCCCAAAGCGUAACGGAGGAGCACGAAGGUUAGCUAAUCCUGGUCGGACAUCAGGAGGUUAGUGCAAUGGCAUAAGCUAGCUUGACUGCGAGCGUGACGGCGCGAGCAGGUGCGAAAGCAGGUCAUAGUGAUCCGGUGGUUCUGAAUGGAAGGGCCAUCGCUCAACGGAUAAAAGGUACUCCGGGGAUAACAGGCUGAUACCGCCCAAGAGUUCAUAUCGACGGCGGUGUUUGGCACCUCGAUGUCGGCUCAUCACAUCCUGGGGCUGAAGUAGGUCCCAAGGGUAUGGCUGUUCGCCAUUUAAAGUGGUACGCGAGCUGGGUUUAGAACGUCGUGAGACAGUUCGGUCCCUAUCUGCCGUGGGCGCUGGAGAAUUGAGGGGGGCUGCUCCUAGUACGAGAGGACCGGAGUGGACGCAUCACUGGUGUUCGGGUUGUCAUGCCAAUGGCACUGCCCGGUAGCUAAAUGCGGAAGAGAUAAGUGCUGAAAGCAUCUAAGCACGAAACUUGCCCCGAGAUGAGUUCUCCCUGAGACUU
rnacentral:rRNA from 1 species